rnacentral:rRNA from 1 species
GAGGAUUGCGAUACCACCUUAAGAAUGCCUGAUGUCGGAAGCUAAGCGGGACUGGAUCUAGAUAGUACUUGGAUGGGAGACUGCCAAGAAUACCAGAUGCCGUACUAG